UACGAAGGGGGCUAGCGUUGCUCGGAAUUACUGGGCGUAAAGCGCACGUAGGCGGCUUUCUAAGUCGGGGGUGAAAUCCUGGAGCUCAACUCCAGAACUGCCUUCGAUACUGGAGAGCUCGAGUCCGGGAGAGGUGAGUGGAACUGCGAGUGUGGAGGUGAAAUUCGUAGAUAUUCGCAAGAACACCAGUGGCGAAGGCGACUAUCUGGCUGACAACUGACGCUGAGACUCGAAAGCAUGGGGAGCAAACAGG
rnacentral:rRNA from 1 species